GCUUGUGGUUGGAGCUAGCUAUGUGGCUCUGGAGUGUGCCGGCUUCCUCACAGGCAUUGGAUUGGACGCCACAGUGAUGGUCCGCAGCAUCGCCCUCCGGGGGUUUGAUCAGCAAAUGGCAGGUCUAGUGACGGACUACAUGGAAGCAUAUGGGACCAAGUUUGUGAAGGAGUGUGUCCCUAAGAGAGUGGACAAGCUGUCCUCAGGAGCUCUGCAGGUGACCUGGACCGACACACUCACGGGCAGCGAACACAAGGACACCUACGACUCUGUGCUGUGGGCAGUU